rnacentral:rRNA from 1 species
GAUGAACGCUGGCGGCGUGCCUAAUACAUGCAAGUCGAGCGAACAGACGAGGAGCUUGCUCCUCUGACGUUAGCGGCGGACGGGUGAGUAACACGUGGAUAACCUACCUAUAAGACUGGGAUAACUUCGGGAAACCGGAGCUAAUACCGGAUAAUAUAUUGAACCGCAUGGUUCAAUAGUGAAAGACGGUUUUGCUGUUACUUAUAGAUGGAUCCGCGCCGCAUUAGCUAGUUGGUAAGGUAACGGCUUACCAAGGCAACGAUGCGUAGCCGACCUGAGAGGGUGAUCGGCCACACUGGAACUGAGACACGGUCCAGACUCCUACGGGAGGCAGCAGUAGGGAAUCUUCCGCAAUGGGCGAAAGCCUGACGGGGCAACGCCGCGUGAGUGAUGAAGGUCUUCGGAUCGUAAAACUCUGUUAUUAGGGAAGAACAAAUGUGUAAGUAACUAUGCACGUCUUGACGGUACCUAAUCAGAAAGCCACGGCUAACUACGUG